UUUCGCGGAAGUAGGCAUUAUUUUAACAGUAAAAAAAAAUUAGGGAAAAAUUGUUUAAAAAAUGGCUUUUACUUAACAAGAAAUAAUGGAAAAAACUAUUCGACACGUAAAAGAAAUGGAAACAUUAUCUAAAGAGCAAGAAAAAGUAUUUGUAGACUUUAAAAAUUUUGUAGACUUAAUUUAAAAAUACCUAAUGCACGUUUAGGUAAUUCGAAAUAAAAUUAUGGGACAGUGAUAAAAAAAAUUAACUUAUUUAAAAAAAAAAGCGAAGUAAACGAAGGCUUCUUGCACGAGACAACAAGCAUUCAUAAGAACAAAAAGAAAAGUUAGUCGAUUAAACGGAAAAAGAUAUUAUCAUCAGAAACGGCUAACCAAAGACGCGUUAAUAGAUAGACGUUUAACGCAUUGUUUAAAAGCAAAGAUAUCCGCGCCUUCAUUAGAUACAAUUAAAAAUAGCAAAGCAAUAGGAAACAGCUGCGUCACCUGGAUAUUGUUUGACUAUACAUCAAAAUUUGAUUAUGGAUGGAAAUUAUUUGAUUAAUGUGUAAUCUAUCCAAUUUAAAAGCACACUUUAUUAUGUAAAGUAUUUUAAGUAAAAUAUAGAAUAUAUAUUUAUAUAUUUA